UUCACACCAAGGGAGUUGCAGCUGCAACAUUUUCCCGCGAAUCGCUCGUGCGCGUUCAGCUUUAGCCUUAUGUGUCUCGGGAACGACGGCGGAACGCGGAGGGGCGGGAGGAGUCUCUCGCUGUACGUUUUGUUUAUGGUCAACGAUUGGCCGCUUGCAACCGCGGUGACGAACAGCGGGUCGGCUAUCGAUAAUCGAACGGGAACAGGUGAAAACGAUCAGACGAAUGCCAGCGGCAUUCUUGUCUAAGACGCGUAACGGUUUUUAUCCUCGCGUUCAGUUGUUAUUAUCGCGUUCACCGGAAUGUCUAAAUCGCUCGCGGCCGUCCCACGUCGCGCGUUGCGUCGGCCACGCGACGUCCCCGACUGCUGUUGCGAAACCGAGCCGUACGAUUCCCGUCGCGUCGCGCGGAGUCGAAAGAACCGUAGCCUCGCCGCGAUCCACGCGCACCGUUCAUCGCGAACCGAACACGUGAACCGUGUGUCACCAGGACCAGUGUCGUACCGUCGUGCCACGAAACUGUUACGAAAUGGCGCAGUUGUUCUCUAGCUUCCCUCUGUUUGCAAAACAUCCAUUGUAGGCCGGCUGAUUGCAAACAAUUGAAGCGUCCGAAGACGUCGAUUUAUUUUGGAAGAAUAGAGGCGUGACGUUUUACUCGAACAAAAGGAUGCUGAGGAGCAGCUGCGUCAUCGUUGGACCGCAGGGCCCCGAGAUAGUUCCGUGCUGCGUCAUCGUUUCCGACGAAUCCGCGGCAAAACGAACACUCCGAGGACGGUUCAUGGGCCGCAACGAAGCAGCCCCGCUCGAGAAUGCGAGGAAUCGUCGGGCAGGCUCGCCGCGGAUGACGAUCGCGAUGAUGUGGCACGCGUUGGCCUCCUUUCCUUCUCGUCGCCGUUUCCCCGAUCACCGGCCGAGCUCUGCUGCCUAGGCUCCGGGCCCUGGGACUCUCGUCCUGCGAGGAUCUCCUGGUACAUCGAGUUCAACGCAACUGAACACGAUCAACGCCCUUUUACUUGUAGGGCUACUAAAAUAAAAACUAAGUCCGUAGUCAGGUUAAAUAUAUUUAUUGCUCGAUGUGACUCUAACGAGGAACGACGACUAACUUUUCCUCGACGCUUUUCUAAGAAGGAAACCUCUUCAGACGAGGGCGUACGUGACCUAGGUUCUGGUGGUCCCCUCGGUCAUAAAUUAGUCAAUGGGCCUGGUCUAUCUCUCAGGCCCCCAAGUAUUGACACGUAACAUACAAGACAACCGAUGUGAAAUAAAAAUGUUUAAUAAGGCAACUAAGCUGAUAAUAGUGUAACGCAAACAUUGCACCGCCGAACGAUUCAUAAUUGUUCCUGCUUUUCUUUGCUACAAAAGACAAACUCUAUGGGAAAGUACUUAAGAUUUUCGUGGCGCUCAACGUGUUAAUUUAUUCUCCGAUUGCUGAAAAUCUGGCGGCACCUUUCCUAUGCUGCCACUAGGGGGCUGCUGACACCGACAGCCUUUCUCGCUACUGCUCGGUUCUUUGCCUAUUUGUAUAUAUACCGCCUGGAAGUUACAAUCGCUACUAGCAUCUAAGGCACGGGGUAAUAGGAAGCCUUUUGAUGAAUCCACUGGUGCUCAUCUUUAAUCUUUCAUGAAUCUCUUACACCUGUUAUAUUAUCAGAAGGAGACGCCUUUGGAAAGAUACAAUUUUUACAUUAUGGAAAAGAUAGGACAUCUUGUUAUGACUCAGAAUUAGUUCACAAAAAAUGUGAACACCUAAAAAAGACGGAACAACUUUUCUGCAGCAAUUGUGUUACCUGAGAAUAACAACACAUCUUUGCACGAAUGCUGAAGAUAUCAAACACAAAAACUCUCAAAUACAAACUUAGACCUAGACACAACGCUCUUCUACAUCAUAGGAUCACAUUAGAAACACAAUGAAAACUACCUGAAGCAAACCAACCUUACAACAAAAUUGAGAGUAAAGCAAAUGAACAAUGUUCUGUGGCUAAAAUGGACCUCUAGUCCGUCGAUGUGACCUUAAAAGUUAAUUUAACCCUUUACGGUCCAAAGUGCUCUCUUGGUUUCUCACUUUGUUAGUUCAUUCAAUUACAGCUUAAUAUGACGCUCUAUUUAUUUAUUCAAGAAUA